ensembl:snRNA U6 U6 spliceosomal RNA
GUGCUUGCUUUGGCAGCACAUACACUAAAAUUGGAACGAUAUAGAGAAGAUUAGUAUGGCCCCUGCUCAAGGAUGACAUGCAAAUUCAUGAGGCGUUCCAUGUUUUU